AAUCAUCUCAGUGGCCUUGGAAAAAAGACGUGGUGAGAGAGCAGACUGUUUCUGAUUACGGACCCGAGACGCGGUGAGAAACUGCAUAGCGUGAAACGGGUCUGGCUGGCGAUACACUAUACGAAUACUACCUCGGUUUGAUCAGGGAGAUACUGCAUUUCACUGCAUGGUGUCCUCACAGAGCUCUUCAGAACAUGAUGGAUAUGAAGAUAUAAUUGAUGCCCUGGGAUGAGGAACACAAGCCACAUUUCAAAAGUGCUGCCAUUCAGUCAGAUAUAUGAUUGAAAUUUCAGCAACCUAAAUGAAGACUCCUCCAUCCAGGUUCCACUCCUUGGGGAGGAAGUCUCUACUACUGCUGAGCAUAGUGGAGGUGGUGCCAUGGAGCAUGAAGACCCCACCGUCACUACUGGUGCCAGGCAGCACUCCUUGCGACCUGCAAGUCUUGCUAGAGAGACACCUUACUUGUCAUCAAUAGUGAGUGCGGACUGGUUCUCCAAUGCGGUGAAGGAUCUCCCGUGACAGCGAAAGGUACUGGCGGAGCUAUCAAGGUCAUUCCUACCAUCUGUACUGGCAACAAGGCAGCGACUGUCAUUAACGAAAAAUACAGACAAAAAAAAACUUAGUGUGUUAAUUUUAUUUGUAUUUUU
rnacentral:misc_RNA from 1 species